GGGGUCCUUCAUUUCUGUUUUCUUUAAUGUUUAAGGCCGUUUUUAUAGUCUUUCUAUUUUUUGUCUAUUAUUAUCAAUUCUUUAUAUUCAAGCACCUUAUUAUUCUCUAUUCUUUAUUUUUUUGUUCCAUUUUCUCUAUUAUUCAUAUUUAUAGCCGAUCAUUCUCUAUUCUGUAAAACCCCAUCGACAUCCUUCUCUUUCCGAUGGUAUGUUAUUUAUAGUUUUAACACUCUCACUUCACGGCCUAAGAGCAGUUUCAGAAGCUUAGUUCAAACGGAGACAUGGUUCCCUGAUGCGGCCUUAAGAGCCUGAGGAUAACGAAAUUAACGAUAUAAAUGAUCUGACAUAUAAAAUAUUUGUAUUUUGCGUUGAUCGUUCCUGAUGAAGUAAAAUCCAGAAACGUGAUUUGGACGUAUGAAAUUUAUAUAAGAUGUUGUUGUCACUCUUUUGUUAGUGUUACGUUUGAAAUUUGCAAUUACUUUUUUCAAAGAAUAAGUAGAUAAAUACAUAAAUUAACACCAG
rnacentral:lncRNA from 1 species